GUGCUUUCUGAUGCAUCUCUGUAAGGAAAAGGAGCAACUGAAGGUCCUCCAGACUGCCGAUCUGACCUUGUCUCCCACGUGCACUCGGGUGGACAUAAAGACAGCGCUGCUUUAUGGAAGCAGGAAGCGUCCAUAUGGAGUCCCUGCAGUGUGUGCACGUGCUGCCUGGUGGGUAUGUGGAUAUGUGGAAGUCGACAACCUUCCUACCCACUUUGCAUCCAUGUGCUCAAUCCUCAGGAACUGCCUUCCCACAUUCAGGCUUCCCCACACCAUGUACACUCUCUGUACAGUCUCUGUGAUUGGGUAAUGUUUGGGCUUCCCCACACCAUGUACACUGGACAAUCUCUGUGAUCGGGUAAUGUUUGGGGUUCUGGGCACUUUUUGGAGAACAUAUAAAAUGCAAGGGUUCCCAAGAG
rnacentral:lncRNA from 1 species